CGCAAACAGACUAAUAUACACGCGAACCUUGAAAAGAACUUCAGACUUUUUCAUCCACAAGCCACAGGGAGCUGCUGACGGUUUUACAGCAGAAGAGGUGUUAUGAGAAAAUCUAUGUUUUAGGAAGAUAGCUGUAGAGGCUGUGAAGAAGGAUUGGAGUCUGGAGCCGGCCCUUUAGGAGCUGUUAAAACAGUCCUGGCAAGAGAUAUGAUGAAACUAACUCAAUCCAGGGUCAUGAGAUUGGAGACAACAGGAGAGAUCUGAGAAAUG
rnacentral:lncRNA from 1 species